rnacentral:rRNA from 1 species
CACUAUAGGCGAUGAUUAGCGGCCGCGAUCGCCUGUGCCAGCAGCCGCGGUAAUUCCAGCUCCAAUAGCGUAUACUAAAGUUGUUGCGGUUAAAAAGCUCGUAGUUGGAUCUUGGAAUGUGUUCAAGCGGGUCAGCUUCUGGCUGUGCGCUGCUUGACGUGUUCUUCUAUUUGGUUUUGGUGCGGUGCGCUUAACUGCGUGUCGCUCCCGGCCGAAACGUUUACCUUGAAAAAAUUAGAGUGUUCAAAGCAGACCUGUUUGAGUCUGAAUAUUCGUGCAUGGAAUAAUGAAAUAUGAAUUCGGUUCUAUUUUGUUGGUUUUCGGAACUCGAGUUAAUGAUCAAGAGGGACAGACGGGGGCAUUCGUACUCUGCCGUUAGAGGUGAAAUUCUUGGAUCGGCGGAAGACGCGCAACUGCGAAAGCAUUUGCCAAGAAUGUUUUCUUUAAUCAAGAACGAUAGUCGGAGGUUCGAAGACGAUCAGAUACCGUCCUAGUUUCGACUGUAAACUAUGCCAGCUAACGAUCAGACAGAGUUCUCUACGACUUGUCUGGCAGUUUCCGGGAAACCAAAGCGUUUGGGUUCCGGGGGAAGUAUGGUUGCAAAGCUGAAACUUAAAGGAAUUGACGGAAGGGCACCACCAGGAGUGGAGCCUGCGGCUUAAUUUGACUCAACACGGGGAAACUCACCCGGCCCGGACACAGUGAGGAUUGACAGAUUGAGAGUUCUUUCUUGAUUCUGUGGGUGGUGGUGCAUGGCCGUUCUUAGUUGGUGGAGCGAUUUGUCUGGUUAAUUCCGAUAACGAACGAGACUCUGGCAUGUUAAAUAGUCGCGGAAGUGCGUAUGCACUUGCCGAAUUGACUUCUUAGAGGGACUAGUGAUUUUAAUUCACACGAGAUUGAGCAAUAACAGGUCUGUGAUGC